CAGGCCAGGUGCGGUGGCUCAUGCCUGUACUCCCACCACUUUGGAAGGCCGAGGAGGGUGGAUCACAAGGCCAGGAGAUCGAGACCAUCCUUGCUAAAAUGGUUCACAUGGUCAUCUGCUCUUUGCAACUUGUCAUCUAUGGAGUAUUUAUGACAAUAUCUUCAUUUGGGAAAUAAGGAUCUCCCUCGGUUACCCAGGCUG
rnacentral:lncRNA from 13 species